GACGAACGCUGGCGGCGUGCCUAACACAUGCAAGUCGAACGGGGAGUUACUUGUAACUCCUAGUGGCGAACGGGUGAGUAACGCGUAGACAACCUGCCUCUAAAUUGGGGACAACACCGCGAAAGUGGUGCUAAUACCGAAUGUGGUAACUUGAUCGCAUGAUCGAGUUAAGAAAGAUGGCCUCUAUUUAUAAGCUAUCGAUGAGAGAUGGGUCUGCGUCUGAUUAGCUAGUUGGUGAGGUAAUGGCUCACCAAGGCGACGAUCAGUAGCCGGUCUGAGAGGGAGAACGGCCACACUGGGACUGAGACAGGGCCCAGACUCCUACGGGAGGCAGCAGUGGGGAAUCUUCCGCAAUGGACGAAAGUCUGACGGAGCAACGCCGCGUGAGUGAAGAAGGUCUUCGGAUUGUAAAGCUCUGUCGUUUGGGACGAACGUGCUUUGUGUGAAUAAUGCAGAGUAAUGACGGUACCAAAGGAGGAAGCCACGGCUAACUACGUGCCAGCCGCCGCCGUAA
rnacentral:rRNA from 1 species